GGCAAGUUACUUCUUGCUGAGUAUGAUUUUUAUUUCUGUGGACCUUGGCCAGUGAUAGUAACAUAAAAUAUUUUCUGUUAUCUUUUUAAUAAUCAUAGCCCCUGAUCAUAUGGUAGAUGCUUAAAAAAUAACUUACAGUGUUUUUCUGAGGUCUUUCAUAAUGAAAUUGUGUCUGGAUGGCUGACGUUUUUGUGUUUAUGUGUUUAGAAGGAGAUUUUAAGGAUGUGCCAUUACUAUUUCUGGUUCUCCCCAUCCAGACCAUGCAGAUUACACUUCCCAUCUUGAUGUCGGUCAGGGUCACGUGACUUGCUUUUGCUAACGAAAAGUAAGUAAAAAAGACGCAUUUAAGGGUUGGCGUACACUUCUCCAUGCCCUCUUCUCCUCUGGUUAAUCCAUGUUGGUAUCAUAAAAAUGUUGGAAAUGCAUUCAUCCUGGAAUCCUGCAUGACACUUAUAGAACAUAGCCUCUGUCAGCUAACCUGUGUUCUUCAUGAGACAUAAGCAACUCUGCCAUUGUAGAGCAAAAGCCAUCAUGGACAAUAAGUAAAAUCAAAAACAAAAACAAAAUACCAUGGGCAUUUCAAUAAAAUUUUAUUUAUAAAAGUAAGUAGCAGACACACAUUUUACUAACACAUGCUUUAAGCUUCAGAGUUAAGUUUGUUAUGCAGCAUAACCUAGUUCAUACUGUCUGAUAUAGCUACCAACUAUACUUUACCAAGGGAAUUUGUGUGAGAUCUGAACAAAUGUAGUGACAAUUUGUGGUUCUCUGUGAGAAUAUUUGUUUAAAAAAGGACCACAUAAAAUUGAUUUGGGUUCAGAUUUUUACUUAAUCAGAAAUCAAAAAAUUAGGGACACAAAAAUGCAUAGAACAGAUGUUUAAGAAAAAGCAUUUCAAACAUUUAGAAAUUUUCAUCAAAAUGAAACUUUCAGAAAAGAACACCAAAAGAAAGACUAUUUGAGAGGCUGUGACAAAGGCCAGGGAAUGAAUUAUGUCUAAGCAAGUGUCCACGGGAAGAGGCUUCCUCACUUCUUCCAUAUCACUUAAAUCCUAAUAUAAGGAAAUUUGGGUUCAGGAGAUAAUUUUUGAAGUUUACAAAGAGCCAAAAGUAGUCUUCUGGGACACAGUAACUUUUUAUUUCUCAGAGUUCACUGCCAGCCAAUUCUUUAGCUGUGCACUCUUUGUCAAAAUGUAUCUACUUGCAUAUUUGUAAUGUGGCCUUUUCUGUACAUACAUUACACUUCAUCAGAAAGUUGUUAACAUGAAUUAUUUAAUGAAAUAAAGUGGAGGAAAUCAUUUCUGAAGUGUUGCAUAAUAAAUGCCCAGUUAGUUUUAAGAGUGAUUUGUAAAGUGUGAUUAUUGUGUCAGUAAACUUCAGCUUUCUAUAAACCAGUCAGUGGUUCUCUGGGUGAUGCUGUAUUUGUGAAUUGGAUCUUGAACUCCCUCAUUUUCUAAAUAAGUACUUUUCUUGGUCAACCUCAAAACUAUUGGAUAUCUCUUUGGUGAGAAAAAUGUACCAAAUUUUCUCCUUUCAUUAGCAGAGAGAGUUCUCUCAGCCAAAUUUAUUACAUUCCUCAGAAUUUCUGUCACAAAGACAGAGGUUAUCUUUCUUUCUGUCAGCCUUUGUUUCUUAUCUCUUGUCUGUCAUUUAUGGGCCUGAUUUCCUGCUUCAUGCAAACAGAAACCUGAGCCAAGAAUUGCUUAUAGGAGCUAAGAGAGUCUUACUCACCAGGAUCAAGAUCCAUAGCAUACAGAUUCAGGGAAGAGGUGAGCACAGAGUCAGUUUUGAAGGAAAGUUAUCUGCUUGAUUGCCUGGUCUACAAACAUUCAGAAUACAGAAUAAAUGUUUCAGAAUAAAAACAUUUCAUAUAUCUGCAACAUAGUAAGAAGCUGUGAUUUAAAAAAAAAGAUAGGUUAAUAAUUUUAAUAUCCUCUUUUUAAUUAUCACUUUUUGCUCACUGUGAGAGAAAAAAAUAUAUACAUACUUAAUUCAUUAUUCCAUAGCUAGCUGUUUUAUUUUCCCUUUUUUUGUGUUAAAGCUGGUUUUAUUAACCAUAUUGGAUAAUAAUAUAUUUUUUUUUUGGUUCAGUGCCAUGAAUGAGGUUGCCUUUCUACAGAGGUAAUUUAUUUUUAUCUCCUAUUAAUAGAAUCUUUGUCUUAGUAUCUUAAUAGCUUAAGUGAAUGUGAUUACUAUAUUUGAAAUACAAGAUGUAUUAAUUUUAUUUUUGAAUUAAACUUUAUAAUAUGAAAUUUCAAUAAUAAACUGCCCUGGUUUCAUUGUGUACCAUAUGGACAUAGUAGAGUAGCUUACAUAAUAUUUUUCAAGCUCUUUUCUCUUUUAUAUUCAAGUUUUUUUAAACAAUUUUUCAUCAACAUGUAUACAACUGCAAAAUAAUGAUAUAGGGUCUGACAUUUUACAAAGCACAUUCUGAAGUUAAUAGGAAAAACAGAGACUAGCAGUAGAGUUCAUUAGAACUAAGUUUAAUUUUCAUCUCUACCACUUUGGUCUGUGACUUGGAAUAACUUAAUUUCUUUCAAACCUCAAUUUCCUUAUAUGUAUGACAAAUUCAUAUUCCUACUUCAUAUAGUAUUAUCUGAAAUAAUGGGAUAGUAGGCAUUCGAUGCAUCGUCAUGUCUCUUGUCUUUCAAAGAUUUAAUCUCCUUUAAGUUGCAUGAUAGUGUUAUUGGAAGAUAAUUGUUUCAGUCAACCACUUAGUGAAGAUUCCUCAAAUUGUAGUGGCUUACAACCAUCAGAACAUUCUAAAUAUGCCAACAGCUGUGGAAUGACUGAUGUAUUUCCAAAUCUCUCUCUCUUUUUUAUUUUCCUGGGGCCCAUGUUUGUAUGGUGGCCACUAUUUAGGAUAGCAAUUUUCAGAGUGGGAAAAGCAAGGGGUACUGCCACACUUUUGCUUGAACAUGGCCUGUGGUGCCUCUGCUCACAUUCCAUGUGAUUGAGCCUAACAGUGAAGCAGGGAUGUGUACACUGACUUUAGAGGUACUUCAAGGGAUAUGUCAAUGGAGAGGAAAAAGAGACAAGAUAAUGGGAAAUAAUGUAAUAAGCCCCAGAGCAUAGGCAAUUAGGUAAUACUUAGUGUAGUAGGGGCCUUUUUCAGAAAGUUCUAGUCAGGCACUGGUGGUAACUGAUACCCUAGCCUUCCAACAAAAUUCAAAAUGAAGUAACAAAUAAAAAUACAAAAAAAAAAAAA
rnacentral:lncRNA from 1 species